AGCGUACACGGUGGAUGCCCUGGCAGUCAGAGGCGAUGAAGGGCGUGCUAAUCUGCGAUAAGCGCCGGUAAGGUGAUAUGAACCGUUAUAACCGGCGAUACCCGAAUGGGGAAACCCAGUGUGAUUCGUCACACUAUCAUUAACUGAAUCCAUAGGUUAAUGAGGCGAACCGGGGGAACUGAAACAUCUAAGUACCCCGAGGAAAAGAAAUCAACCGAGAUUCCCCCAGUAGCGGCGAGCGAACGGGGAGGAGCCCAGAGCCUGAAUCAGCAUGUGUGUUAGUGGAAGCGUCUGGAAAGGCGCGCGAUACAGGGUGACAGCCCCGUACACAAAAGCGCAUGUGCUGUGAGCUCGAUGAGUAGGGCGGGACACGUGGUAUCCUGUCUGAAUAUGGGGGGACCAUCCUCCAAGGCUAAAUACUCCUGACUGACCGAUAGUGAACCAGUACCGUGAGGGAAAGGCGAAAAGAACCCCGGCGAGGGGAGUGAAAAAGAACCUGAAACCGUGUACGUACAAGCAGUGGGAGCACCCUUGGGGUGUGACUGCGUACCUUUUGUAUAAUGGGUCAGCGACUUAUAUUCUGUAGCAAGGUUAACCGUAUAGGGGAGCCGUAGGGAAACCGAGUCUUAACCGGGCGUUAAGUUGCAGGGUAUAGACCCGAAACCCGGUGAUCUAGCCAUGGGCAGGUUGAAGGUUGGGUAACACUAACUGGAGGACCGAACCGACUAAUGUUGAAAAAUUAGCGGAUGACCUGUGGCUGGGGGUGAAAGGCCAAUCAAACCGGGAGAUAGCUGGUUCUCCCCGAAAGCUAUUUAGGUAGCGCCUCGUGAAUUCAUCUCCGGGGGUAGAGCACUGUUUCGGCUAGGGGGCCAUCCCGGCUUACCAACCCGAUGCAAACUGCGAAUACCGGAGAAUGUUAUCACGGGAGACACACGGCGGGUGCUAACGUCCGUCGUGAAGAGGGAAACAACCCAGACCGCCAGCUAAGGUCCCAAAGUCAUGGUUAAGUGGGAAACGAUGUGGGAAGGCCCAGACAGCCAGGAUGUUGGCUUAGAAGCAGCCAUCAUUUAAAGAAAGCGUAAUAGCUCACUGGUCGAGUCGGCCUGCGCGGAAGAUGUAACGGGGCUAAACCAUGCACCGAAGCUGCGGCAGCGACACUGUGUGUUGUUGGGUAGGGGAGCGUUCUGUAAGCCUGUGAAGGUGGCCUGUGAGGGUUGCUGGAGGUAUCAGAAGUGCGAAUGCUGACAUAAGUAACGAUAAAGCGGGUGAAAAGCCCGCUCGCCGGAAGACCAAGGGUUCCUGUCCAACGUUAAUCGGGGCAGGGUGAGUCGACCCCUAAGGCGAGGCCGAAAGGCGUAGUCGAUGGGAAACGGGUUAAUAUUCCCGUACUUGGUGUUACUGCGAAGGGGGGACGGAGAAGGCUAUGUUGGCCGGGCGACGGUUGUCCCGGUUUAAGCGUGUAGGUGUGUGUUCCAGGUAAAUCCGGUUCACUUUAACACUGAGGCGUGACGACGAGGCACUACGGUGCUGAAGCAACAAAUGCCCUGCUUCCAGGAAAAGCCUCUAAGCAUCAGGUAACAUCAAAUCGUACCCCAAACCGACACAGGUGGUCAGGUAGAGAAUACCAAGGCGCUUGAGAGAACUCGGGUGAAGGAACUAGGCAAAAUGGUGCCGUAACUUCGGGAGAAGGCACGCUGACACGUAGGUGAAGUGAUUUACUCAUGGAGCUGAAGUCAGUCGAAGAUACCAGCUGGCUGCAACUGUUUAUUAAAAACACAGCACUGUGCAAACACGAAAGUGGACGUAUACGGUGUGACGCCUGCCCGGUGCCGGAAGGUUAAUUGAUGGGGUCAGCGCAAGCGAAGCUCCUGAUCGAAGCCCCGGUAAACGGCGGCCGUAACUAUAACGGUCCUAAGGUAGCGAAAUUCCUUGUCGGGUAAGUUCCGACCUGCACGAAUGGCGUAAUGAUGGCCAGGCUGUCUCCACCCGAGACUCAGUGAAAUUGAACUCGCUGUGAAGAUGCAGUGUACCCGCGGCAAGACGGAAAGACCCCGUGAACCUUUACUAUAGCUUGACACUGAACAUUGAGCCUUGAUGUGUAGGAUAGGUGGGAGGCUUUGAAGUGUGGACGCCAGUCUGCAUGGAGCCGACCUUGAAAUACCACCCUUUAAUGUUUGAUGUUCUAACGUGGACCCGUAAUCCGGGUUGCGGACAGUGUCUGGUGGGUAGUUUGACUGGGGCGGUCUCCUCCUAAAGAGUAACGGAGGAGCACGAAGGUUGGCUAAUCCUGGUCGGACAUCAGGAGGUUAGUGCAAUGGCAUAAGCCAGCUUGACUGCGAGCGUGACGGCGCGAGCAGGUGCGAAAGCAGGUCAUAGUGAUCCGGUGGUUCUGAAUGGAAGGGCCAUCGCUCAACGGAUAAAAGGUACUCCGGGGAUAACAGGCUGAUACCGCCCAAGAGUUCAUAUCGACGGCGGUGUUUGGCACCUCGAUGUCGGCUCAUCACAUCCUGGGGCUGAAGUAGGUCCCAAGGGUAUGGCUGUUCGCCAUUUAAAGUGGUACGCGAGCUGGGUUUAGAACGUCGUGAGACAGUUCGGUCCCUAUCUGCCGUGGGCGCUGGAGAACUGAGGGGGGCUGCUCCUAGUACGAGAGGACCGGAGUGGACGCAUCACUGGUGUUCGGGUUGUCAUGCCAAUGGCACUGCCCGGUAGCUAAAUGCGGAAGAGAUAAGUGCUGAAAGCAUCUAAGCACGAAACUUGCCCCGAGAUGAGUUCU
rnacentral:rRNA from 1 species